ensembl:lncRNA
ACUUGCUCUUUGUACAAAAGAGGAGUAUCUGCUUUGUGGAUCAGUAGGGGUAAUAAAGCUGUGUGAACUUCAAACCAUGAUCUUCUCAUCAGCUCUACUUCUGCUGGCAGCAGCUGCAUACUGUGGCGUUUUCUGUGUUGAGCUCACUCAACCUCCAUCUAUGGUUGUGAAACCUCAAGAAUCAUUCUCCAUCUCCUGCAGGAUUUCAGUAUCAAGCUAUUGCAUUCACUGGAUCUGUCAACCCACUGGAAAAGCACUGGAAUGGCUCGGAUAUCUUUGUAGUAGUGGUGGCACUAACAUUAAAGACUUCAAAAAACAAGAUCAGUUUCACCCAGGACACGUCCAAAACCCCAGUAUUUCUACAGGGAACUAAUUUUGAGACUGAGAACUCAGCUGUGUAUUACUGUGCAAGAUACACGCAGUAAUUAACUGUCAGCAAAUGACAAGUAACUUACAAUAAAAUAAAAAUACAGUAAUUACCUGAUAGCAAGUGACAAGUAACUUACUUUAAAAUUAUUUACAGUAAUUAACUAGAAGCAAUUGUCAAGUAACUUACUGUAGAAGAAAUAACCAUAAUAUUUUCACUGUUUUUAUUUACAGUAACAACCAUGUAACUGUAAAGUAAAACUUACUUAUUUGCAAGUACAACUUUAUUUAUUCAUUAAUUUUUUGUCUUUUUGUGCUUAUUACACAGGACAGUGUAGGGAUUGGUGUGGUGUGGAUAGAAGGGAAGCCUGAUCGGCCAAGGACCCCAAGACAGGAAUCAAACAUGGGUCGCCAGAGACACAGUUGCAAUAUAUGUCAGUGUGCUAACCACUAGACUAUCGGUACCAACAGGUUCCGUUGCUGUUUAGUUAUAUUGAGUAACCCCUAAUAAAUAAAUAAAUAAAUAAAUAAAUAAUUUAUGUUGCAUGAUUUAAAUAUGAAUACUCAUUUAUCAACAGUCACAGUUAACAGUUAAUCGUUAUAACAAGCUUCAUUAAUUAUUCUUCACUUAUUGCUAGAUGUGUUGAAAACAAUAAAAUCUUAAUGACCUUCUGGUAGUUUUUCGUUACAGUUUUUUUUUUUUUUUUUUAAAGAAUACAUUUGCUUUCUGUAUUCUCUGUUCAAAUUGAAAAUGUAAUUAAAUUACAGUGAGGUCAAAUUAAAUGCAGUCAUUGGCUGGAAACCCAGCUGCCAGUGUACUGUGUUUUCCUUCUUUAUCCCAGUGGCGGCAUUUCAGAAAAUCCUAGUGAAUGGCAAUAUGGUAAAAUCUGAAUGGGUUAAGUGCAGAGCACCAAUUCCGAAUAUGGGUCACCAUACUUGGCAAAUGUCACGACUUUCACUUUACAAACUGCCACAGAAACUGUACAAAAACCUGUCUCUCCAUUACACAUAUUUUUCAAUAAAACAAAGUUAUACAUUGCAGAUCCUUUUCAUAUUAAACAUCUUAUGACAUAAUUCCAAAGUCAAGAUGGCAAAAUUAAAGCAAACAUAUAAGUAAAUAUUGAACACUGAAUGGGUCAGGUGAUGUUUUAGCCUUUGUAAAUCGGUUAUAUUUUUUUAAUAAAUUAAUCUUGCUAAAUGUGACCUGUGCUGGCAAAAUGAGUCACAAUGAGCAAAUUUUCAAAAAUGAGUCAUUUUUAUUUUCACAAUCUCCAUUAAAAGACCUUCAAACUGAUAUAUGAUUUGUUGGAAUCAGACAAAAAAUGACUGAGCUACAGCCGAUUGAAUUCGAUAUAGUCAGCAAAGUCUUUUCUGAGAAAAAAAAAAAAAACGAGUUAAAGUUUUCUGAAGGUUCCAAAGCAAAAUCACCUAGU